rnacentral:misc_RNA from 1 species
AAGUCGUAACAAGGUUUCCGUAGGUGAACCUGCGGAAGGAUCAUUAGAGAGAAACGCUUGGACCCUCGCCUCGGCAGGGCCCUCGCACCAACACAUCCAUAACACCUGUGAACCGUAAGGGGAAGUCGUGACGAUUCCCCUGCCCCUUUAUAAACAAUCAGUAGUAACAAAAGUAGUCUUAUUAUAAUCUAAUAAAA